rnacentral:lncRNA from 1 species
CCUUGGCACAUUGUACAUGCUUAAUAAGUACUCCUUGAAUCCAACUGGAAAUUCCAACCUGGGAAGAGAAGACAGAUAUGCACCAAGCACGAUACCUUUAAACAAAGUGGAGAUCAUUUUCCUUGAAUAAAUGCCUCCUCUGUAGGGCUUUCCCACGUGGGUAUAGGGCUAGAAAUAAAAGAUGUGGCUAAAAACCACCUGCUCAGAGAACUCUUUUCUUCAGGAGACACACCAGCUAUAAAAGAAAUCUCUGUCUCUCAUCACCUGGAACAAGAAAAUUCUGAAUAAGCCUUUCCUGAGGAUCCACUGAGUCAGAGGUUCACACCUGGUUAGGGAUCCAGACAGCAGCAAGUUCAAUGCCACGGCACUCCUUAUGGAGUGAGCGAUGGAUCCUAAUGGGAAAAUGGGGGAAAAUAAAAGGAGGAAACGGAAUAUCUCUAAAAAAGGAUGCACUCAUACCUUCUGCAAUGGCAAAGUCCCUGCUCGAGCCCAACAGAGUAAUUCCCCACAGGGACAAGAUGGAAAUCCCAGGAGAGGCACUUUGAGGCCCCAGGGAACACCCAGUGCCGGGAUGUGUGGAUGGGGACAAAGCAGAGUUCCUUUAAAACUUUGUU